rnacentral:tRNA from 9 species
UCGGGAGUGCUCCAGUGGCAACGAGGGCGGACUGUAAAUCCGCUGUCUGAUGACUUCGUAGGUUCGAGUCCUACCUCCCGAA